CUUGUGGUUGCCACUGUACUUUUUGGGCUUCAUUUGUUGCUUUAAAAACCGUAAAAUGCUGAAAUACGACCUGUAGCAAAACUGUCAUCACCAACAUCCCCAGAUAUCGACUCUGGCAGUUUACGGCCAUAAGUGUCUCAUGCCGAAUAAGGAAGAAUGGCAAGAUAUAGGAGUAGGAUUCCAUUCAAGGUGGAACUUCCCAGGUUGCUAUGGAGCUAUUGAUGGGAAGCACAUCACAAUUCAAGCACCACCUAAUUGUGGUAGUGAAUAUUACAACUAUAAGGGAACGAAUAGCAUAGUGUUAAUGGCAAUCGUGGAUCACGAUUAUUGUUUUAGAUAUGUUGAUAUAGGCUCAUACGGUCGUAACGCAGAUGGUGGGAUAUUUCAAAAAUGCUCUUUAUAUUCUCAUCUAGAAAACAAUAUUCUAUUGCCUGAAAAUGGCGUUUUAGUAGGUGAUGAUGCGUUUCCAUUAAAGCCGUAUUUAUUGAAGCCCUAUAAAAAUACACCGACUAAAGAAGAAAAGAUUUUUAACUACAGAUUGAGCAGAGCAAGGAGAAUAGUUGAAAAUGGAUUUGGCAUUUUAGCAUCUCGUUUUCGUAUUUUGGGAAAACCAAUCCAGGUUAGAGAGGAUACCGCAAUGAAGAUAGUUUUAUGUGCAUGUACUUUACACAACUGGUUGCGUAUGUCUGCAUCGAAAACGUAUACUCCACCAGGAACAAUUGACUAUGAAGACAUAAUAAAUUUUGAAAUUAAUUUAGGGCAGUGGAGGUCAGAGAUUGAGGGUUUACGAAGCAUUCAACGCUCACGGAUGAAUAAUAGAUCAAAGGCUAUUGCAGAGAAAAUGAGAGAUAAAUAUAAACAUUACUUUAAUAGCGAGGGAGCGGUUACUUGGCAAAAUAAUAUGAUUUAUUAAUUAGAGAAUACAGUAUAAUAUAGUGUAGUAUAGUUGCAGUAUAGUAUAAUAUCGAAUCAUUUAGUAAUGUAUAUAUAUAUUUAGUGUUAUAGUGCAUUAUAUAAUAGAAGAAAAUAACUUACUAGAUUACUUAUUGUUUGUUUUUCCUUCAGAUGAAUAAUAUUCAUGAUGUAAUCCAUGGCAUCGAACCAUUGGACGGAAGGUUUAUAUAUCUCAUCAGUACCACAUCCGCUUCGUUUGCUUUUCUCAAUUUUUAAUUUCUCCUGGUUGUAUGUAGAACGUAAAUUUUUUAUUUUUUUUGUAACUUCUUUCGUAUCCGAUAACCCCACUUCUGAACGAAUGUAUUCAAGCGAGGCUUUACGCAAAUCUCUGUUUUUAUAAUUGGGAUCCAUACAGUUCCACAAAAUGGUUUGUUCUUUAUAUAA